GCUCACUUCAGCUGAGUGUAUACUUAAAUUGGAACAAUGGAGAAGAGAUUAGUAUGGUCCUUGCACAAGGAUGACAUGCAAAUUCAUGAAGCAUUUCAUAUUUUU